UAUAACCUAAUCCUAAAAUCUCACUUCUCACUUCUCAGUUCUCUUCACUUCAGUGUCUUAAACUCUUCACCUUCGGUCUUCAGUGAAUGGCGCCCAGCUGCAGAGCUGCCCACGCCACGACGCCCACGUCCAGUUGCCCACGCUCACCGGCCACCACCCACAAAGUCGCGAAGUGCUGGGUUCCAUUGUCUCCACUCGCAAACACCGAGAGAGUGUUGGGUAUUUGGUGGAUUUCCCUUCCCAAAAUCUUGAGAAUGGGCCCUCACCAGUCGCCAGUCACCGGCCCUCCCCGCACGCACAGACACACGUCACACACCGGCAGGCCGCAGCAGAGGAAGGGAAAGGAAGGCCCCUGUAGUCGUCACUCGGCAGGUUCCAUAGUUUGAGGAGUGACACACGGAUGAGAGAGUAUGGCUUGGACAGCACGACUGGAUCCCAUGAUUUGAGGAGUUGCAUGAUUUGAUCCCUUGCUUUGGAAAGUUCCAGAAUGUGGUAGCAGUGCGUUGUGAUCUUGAUGAUUAUGUGCAGCCUUGUUGACAACAGUUGUGUCAACAUCUACUUUCUCUUCAACAGCUACUUUUCUGUAUUUCCUCUAACAUUUUGCUCAAGACUUCUUUUCGCAGCAGAAUCUAAA